GUUUUUUUUAACUAUUCAUCAAUAAAAUGGCAUCCCUCUCUCUCCGUAUUGAUUGUCAACUUGUCUUUACUUUUGCAGUUACAACAAAAUUCAUAACAAUUCAUUCAAAAAUUUUCCAGUUUCUAAAGAAAUAAAUAUAAAUAUAUAUAUAUAAUAUAUAUAUAAAAUUUAAAAUUCAAAAUAACAGAAUGGAAUUCGAUUUGGACAUGGCUUUUACCGUUUACUACGCCAUUGUUUUAUUUUCCAUAGCGCUAAGCUUAUACGGCAUAUCUUCAGAUGGCCCAACAGCUGUUCAAACAGUUCCACAAACAGGAGAGCAAGUGCAACAAUAAACAUUUUCCGACUCAAUGUAAGAUACGAACGCGGCCGAGCUGAAAAUUAUAUUUACCUAAUAAUCGCAAAAACGAUCUUAAAUGGAAGAAUCAAAUUUGAAAAUUCGAAAUCAUGCUUUAUUUUGGCAGAAAAUUUAAUAUAGCUACAACUAGCCUGGUUUAUUGAGUUUUUAAAGAGGAUGCACAUCUAUGUAAGCGCAUGCUUCUGUGGAAAGUGAAUGAGUGAAUUUAUGAUAACCAACAGAGUCUAUCCUUCCAUCGUUAAGAGAGUACUUAUCGUGAGCACGAAAAAGUAUGAACUUGUUUUGGGUAGACAUUUCGGUUAAUAGAGUCUGAAACCAUCUAUGGCUAUAAGCACUUUACCUAAACAUUGAUUCCUAAGCAGAAAGAAACAUAUUGUCUUUAGCAAAAAAAAUGUAUAAUAAGCGGAUCCUUUGUAUCGGAGCAAUCAAUUAAGCAAAUUGGAAAAAUGUAGUUUUGAGAAAAACGCAUAACAAUAAACUGAUAGAGCUGAUUGAACUGGUUGAACUGUGCGGCUCCACUUUAGUAGGCUGUAGCUCAAAUACUAUUUGACAUAUCCAUGUAAAUUUUUAGUAUUUUAUUUUUGAAAGUAAUAGCUGUGAAAAACAUGUCGAUUUAAAAAAAGUAUAAUAUUUAUUUUAUUUUAAUUAAAUAAACUAGUUUCAAAGAAAUUAAGCGAUGCCGAAAUUCUAAAUCUCGGUAACUCGGGUUUUGCAAACCUAAAUGUAAUCCGGUAAAAAAAAUAACUUCAGUGGCAACCUAGAUUUCUAACCACUCCAAACAACAGUUAUUUGCUAACAUCCUUUGCAACAAAAAAAAUCACAAAUAAAGACAUUGCAAAAUAGAAUUUAUGGAAAAUAAAAAGACCGGGAUAACAAUGCAAUGCACACUGCAGCAUCUUCAACCAAACCCAACUCUGUUAUGAACACAACAACAUUAAACAAUUUGCAAUAUGCAAUUUUUGCACAAUACACAGACAUACACAUGCACAAGCCGUUAAUACAACAGUUGGAAAAAUGCAGCGCCUGCAAAACCGCAUUGCCAUUGGCAACACUCGCCAGCUGUGAUUUUUGCCAAGCGCCGAAGGGGAACUAAACGCCUCUACUGCCGAAAAGGUGCGCAAGCAGUGCAAAGAUGGGAGGGAAGCAGAAUAAAAUCAGGAAGCAAGAAAUAAAGCUGUAAAAGCAAAAUAAUAGCGUUUAGAAGCGCAUUUACGAAACAUUUAAAUAAAUUGAUGUGGCAUGCAACAGCAGUGGUGGCAAGCAAAAUCAGCAAACAAGCAGCAACAACAACAAAAACAAAAUGUACGCAGCAAUGUGCUAUACAAUCUACAAAAAUGGCAAGACAUGCGAUACAAUGUGACACAGCAUGUGGCAAGCAGCAUUUUAUGGACACACACACACGCAGCCAAGUGCUUGUGCAAUAGCAAAAGCAGCAGAAGUACACCAAAUUGUCUCCAAGAAUGUUGUUAGCAAGGAAACAUGGAAAUCAGUGACAGUAAAAGGAAAACGUUUUUAGGAGUUAUUGUCUCUGCGGCAAGUGGCAAACGGCUGAAGAAAAGGGAGCUGUAAGAAAAUCAAAAAAAAAAAAAAAAUAUUUCAAAAAAACCACCAAAAAGUAGAAAGUGCUACACUUAAUAGCUGCAUGCCACAAUCAUCUGCUGGCGCUGCGCAUACAUACAUACCUACCCAAAAUUACACACAUACACACUCCCACUCACAUCUCGUCAAAUUGAAACCCGAUUGCAUGCCAAAAACUUAAAUGUAUUUGUCCCAAACGGCAGUGUGCCAAGUCGGCGCGCUGGUUCCACUUAGUUGGGUGGUUGUACGUAUGCUUGAGCAGUAUCCUGCGCUGCUAGCCAUCAGCUGUCGCUGCAUUUCGGCUCCCAUAAGUGCAGUAGCUCUCUACAACUAUACCACCUAUAAGUUCACUGCUCUCCCUUUUUAUCCGCAAUCCUUUUCCACUCAUCGCCGCUAAAUGCUGAUGCAGCUUUUGCUUGAGCGGCCAAAUGCUGCGGUUGCUUGCUUAUGCAAAUUGUGUUGCAUGCAACAGGGGAGCGUCAUAAAUGCAAUGAAAAAUAUUUAAAAGCCAAAAAUAUGUUUGCGAGUGCUGGCUCUCAGUGUGUGGUUAGCUAUAAAAGAUUAUUACAUUAUGAUUAUGUGAUGCUCAAGUAUACGAAAUUAGUUCUGUGGUUGAUUCUAUAAAAAAAGAUAAUAAGCAAAUGCUAAACUAGUAUUAAAAGACGGAAAACAAUCUUUUGAGUUAAA